UAUAUAUAUAUAUAUAUAUAUAUAUAUAGUUACAUAUAUAGACAUGCAUAUAUCUAUCUAUAGUUACAUAUAUAUUCAGUUAAAUGAAUACAAAUACCACACAUGAGUACUACAGUAUUGCAUAUUAGUAAAUGUGUCUCGCUUCAUCUUGUGAGCAUCUGUAUCUCUCCCGUUGCAUUGUGGGACUUCCUGGCAUGUCUUUUGUCCCUCCUGUGUUGCUGUACGCCUCGUUAAAUACUUCAAACGUCUCACACCACACACAAAAAUACAUUCCUGGUAUUUUUAGGACCCCCAUCCAGAUGUGUUUCCCCUCCUGACUCCAGACAGAUGCUGUAUUUAGAGAACGUGUCUUCACCUCUCACACCUGACUGAGGGACAUGUCCCUCUGAGGUCCAACACAGCGCCCUGUCGGAUUAUUCACGUGUGUGUGUGUGUGUGGCGAGCUGUUUGUUGUGUGAAAGAUAACUGAUCGAUAACAAAGUCCAAACAACAUCUUUUUCAUUUAAAAACUAGCUUCUAGUUUCUCUUGUUCACCUGAAUAAACAUCUGGACUGCUUAUGUCUUAACGUGUUUCCAGGUGACCUCUAAGUGUCCUCUUUUCUCUCCGGGAGACCCUUAAGUGUCUCCAGGUGUCCCCAGGUGACCUCUCAGUGUCUCCAGGUGUCCCCAGGUGACCUCUCAGUGUCUCCAGGUGUUGGUACUCCUACGUUUUCAACCUACAGCCUGUAGAGUCUCCAGCGGCAGAGGAACUCCCUAAAAGCUCUUUGCUUUUAUUUCACCUUUCAAAAGUGACGGAAAGAUUGAACGUUUUGAACAUUUAACAUUUGGACUGACAACAGACUCCUGGAGUCUCCUGGGGUCCCAAGUCUUUGGCUCGGGGUCCAGGUGCUCUGUGCUCAGGUGUGUUGAGUGGACUCGGGUUCAUUGAGGUGAUUCAGGUCAGCGUGGCGCAGGGUAGAGAGGGUCGAGCCCUGUCUGCUCCGUGUCCCAUGUCGAGGUGUCGCAUUAAGACACGUACCCCCUAACUGCUCCGUGUCCCAUGUCGAGGUGUCGCAUUAAGACACGUACCCCCUAACUGCUCCGUGUCCCAUGUCGAGGUGUCACAUUAAGACACGUACCCCCUAACUGCUCCGUGUCCCAUGUCGAGGUGUCACAUUAAGACACGUACCCCCUAACUGCUCCGUGUCCCAUGUCGAGGUGUCACAUUAAGACACGUACCCCCUAACUGCUCCGUGUCCCAUGUCGAGGUGUCACAUUAAGACACGUACCCCCUAACUGCUCCGUGUCCCAUGUCGAGGUGUCACAUUAAGACACGUACCCCCUAACUGCUCCCCGGCAUGUAAAAAGCGACGGGUUAAAAAUGCAACGUAAGUGGCUUUGGAUAAAAUGCUAAAUGACCUGUAAUGUGAUUCAGACUAAACACAGUAAAUCAUCACUCCUUCAUCUCGUCUCCACAGCCUGCUGGUCCGCCCAGGACGACCUGCUGCACACCCAGUCUAAACAAAACCCUGUUACCCACAAUGCACCUCGCACCUUUCCACGUGUCAUUUCCCAGAAUGUUCUGAAAACGAACCUCAGAGGAAUCCUGAGGGAAAGUUCUCACAUCUGCUCCAAAGAUGAGAAGCUAAAGGGAAGUUUAGAGAUUUUAAUUCAUAUUAUAAAGUUCAUAACGUAAACCAGCCUUUAAAACAUGACGGAGAACCUGUGUGUUGGAGGCGCGUGUAAUUCAUGCACAAAUAAACAAAUAACAGUGACAAGAAGCUAAAGGACAACUAUUACAGGUCAAAUGGUUUUCAAAUUGAACAAUUAAUGUUUGAAGAGGAGCUCAUUGCGCCUCAUGACGGCGUUUCAACGUGUUCUGAGCACAUGAGACACUGGUUUAGUGCUGUGUGUGAAGUAUGAAUAGAAAUAAGUCUGUCCAUUGAGGAUUAAAUGUUUUACUUUCGCUGUCCACUUAUUCCUCGUUUUUCUCACGGUUCUUUUUUUCAAAUUUCACUCGUUUACUUUUUCUCUUUUUAUUUGUAUUUUGCCGCUACCUCUGUCGUCUGUCCGCAGUAUUGAGACGAUAUCAUCGUCCUGCCUGGAAUGCAAAGACUCGAUUGGUCGAGUGGUAUCACGUUGGAUGGUUGAACUCGAUUGCGAUUGGUUAAGCCACUAACGUUUAAGUCACUACCGUAAAGACGACCAAAGCUGCGCGGGUCACAACAACCGUUUGUUUUUAGCUUUUGGUCCAGAUGGGACAGCUUCUGGAUCCAGAUCCAGACCGCGUCCCGCCAAUUAGUGACCUCUGGGCCACGUUGUAGCAUUAAGUUGUAGCAUUGACUUGUUAGGCUACGUUGUAGCAUUAAGUUGUAGCAUUGGGUUGUUAGGCUACGCUGUAGCAUUAAGUUGUAGCAUUGAGUUGUUAGGCUACGCUGUAGCAUUAAGUUGUAGCAUUGGGUUGUUAGGCUACGUUGUAGCAUUAAGUUGUA
ensembl:lncRNA